UAUCAAUGAUGCAAACUUUGUCUGUUUCUCCUAUUUACUUGAAAGUGAUGAUAUAGUGUAUCUGACAAGA